GCGUACGCAGGCGGUUUGUUAAGCGAGAUGUGAAAGCCCCGGGCUCAACCUGGGAACUGCAUUUCGAACUGGCAAACUAGAGUCUUGUAGAGGGGGGUAGAAUUUCAGGUGUAGCGGUGAAAUGCGUAGAGAUCUGAAGGAAUACCGGUGGCGAAGGCGGCCCCCUGGACAACGACUGACGCUCAUGUACGAAAGCGUGGGGRGSAAACAGGAUUAGAUACCCUGGUAGUCCACGCCGUAAACGAUGUCUACUCGGAAUUUGGUGUCUUGAACACUGGGUUCUCAAGCUAACGCAUUAAGUAGACCGCCUGGGGAGUACGGCCGCAAGGUUAAAACUCAAAUGAAUUGACGGGGGCCCGCACAAGCGGUGGAGCAUGUGGUUUAAUUCGAUGCAACGCGAAGAACCUUACCUACUCUUGACAUCCACAGAACUUUCCAGAGAUGGAUUGGUGCCUUCGGGAACUGUGAGACAGGUGCUGCAUGGCUGUCGUCAGCUCGUGUUGUGAAAUGUUGGGUUAAGUCCCGCAACGAGCGCAACCCUUAUCCUUAUUUGCCAGCACGUAAUGGUGGGAACUUUAGGGAGACUGCCGGUGAUAAACCGGAGGAAGGUGGGGACGACGUCAAGUCAUCAUGGCCCUUACGAGUAGGGCUACACACGUGCUACAAUGGUCGGUACAGAGGGUCGCAAAGCCGCGAGGUGUAGCUAAUCCCACAAAGCCGGUCGUAGUCCGGAUCGGAGUCUGCAACUC
rnacentral:rRNA from 1 species